CCCUUAGGGCUUUUCUUCUGGCUCUAGACUUGGAGAAGCAGACACAUCCACCGUAUCAUCCAUAGCUAGAGAACAGCUACAUGCUAUAAGCAUAUUAUUUCUAGACUCCUACCAUUCUCGAAGCUUUUCUUUUCUUUGAUUUUCCUCCCAUCAUUUGAAAAGUUUUGCCUCAAGGUUAACCCCAGGAUUAAAAGUAGGUAAUAUUUACUAAAUUAAUAUUAGUGUAUUUGCUUAAAUUAGUUAAUUCUACAAUUAUCACUUUAAAACUUUUAUGUCAAGGAAAGAUACAACUCUUAUAUCCAUCAAUGUUCUCAGGGCCAUUUUCUUAAAUGCUAUUAUUUCCUUUUUGUAGAAAACUUUUUCAUUUAGGAUCUCAUUUUAUCUUUACACACAUACAAAAUAAGUCUCCAAUGGCUUUACCAUUAGCUAACUGUAGUCUUCACCAUGCUCAGAGCAAACCUAUGUAACAUCAUGUUAGAUCCUUGACCAAACUGCCUCCAGUAAGUCUUUCAAAAAGAUGUGCAAACAUUAGCUGUACAAUACACUAUGAUUCAUCUGAAAAAAAAAAA